rnacentral:tRNA from 1 species
GGGGAGAUGACUCAUCUGGUAAAGUGCUUGCCUCGCAAGCCUGAGGACCUGAGUUCAAUUCCCAGAACCCACA